rnacentral:rRNA from 1 species
AGUCGAACGGUAACAGGUCUUCGGAUGCUGACGAGUGGCGAACGGGUGAGUAAUACAUCGGAACGUGCCCGAUCGUGGGGGAUAACGAGGCGAAAGCUUUGCUAAUACCGCAUACGAUCUACGGAUGAGAGCGGGGGAUCUUCGGACCUCGCGCGGACGGAGCGGCCGAUGGCAGAUUAGGUAGUUGGUGGGAUAAAAGCUUACCAAGCCGACGAUCUGUAGCUGGUCUGAGAGGAUGAUCAGCCACACUGGGACUGAGACACGGCCCAGACUCCUACGGGAGGCAGCAGUGGGGAAUUUUGGACAAUGGGCGAAAGCCUGACCCAGCCAUGCCGCGUGCAGGAUGAAGGCCUUCGGGUUGUAAACUGCUUUUGUACGGAACGAAAAGCCUCUUUCUAAUAAAGAGGGGUCAUGACGGUACCGUAAGAAUAAGCACCGGCUAACUACGUGCCAGCAGCCGCGGUAAUACGUAGGGUGCAAGCGUUAAUCGGAAUUACUGGGCGUAAAGCGUGCGCAGGCGGUUUUGUAAGACAGAGGUGAAAUCCCCGGGCUCAACCUGGGAACUGCCUUUGUGACUGCAAGGCUGGAGUGCGGCAGAGGGGGAUGGAAUUCCGCGUGUAGCAGUGAAAUGCGUAGAUAUGCGGAGGAACACCGAUGGCGAAGGCAAUCCCCUGGGCCUGCACUGACGCUCAUGCA